GAUGAACGCUGUCUACAGGCUUAACACAUGCAAGUCGAGGGGAAACGACGGGGAAGCUUGCUUCCCCGGGCGUCGACCGGCGCACGGGUGAGUAACGCGUAUCCAACCUGCCUCUGACUGAGGGAUAACCCGUCGAAAGUCGGCCUAAUACCUCAUGGCAUCGUCUGCGGGCAUCCAACGACGAUUAAAGAUUUCAUCGGUCAGGGAUGGGGAUGCGUCUGAUUAGCUUGUUGGCGGGGUAACGGCCCACCAAGGCUACGAUCAGUAGGGGUUCUGAGAGGAAGGUCCCCCACAUUGGAACUGAGACACGGUCCAAACUCCUACGGGAGGCAGCAGUGCGGAAUAUUGGUCAAUGGGCGGGAGCCUGAACCAGCCAAGUAGCGUGCAGGAUGACGGCCCUAUGGGUUGUAAACUGCUUUUAUGCGGGGAUAAAGUGAGGGACGUGUCCUUCAUUGCAGGUACCGCAUGAAUAAGGACCGGCUAAUUCCGUG
rnacentral:rRNA from 1 species